rnacentral:rRNA from 1 species
GACGAACGCUGGCGGCGUGCCUAAUACAUGCAAGUAGAACGCACAGUUUAUACCGUAGCUUGCUACACCAUAGACUGUGAGUUGCGAACGGGUGAGUAACGCGUAGGUAACCUGCCUGGUAGCGGGGGAUAACUAUUGGAAACGAUAGCUAAUACCGCAUAAUAUUAAUUAUUGCAUGAUAAUUAAUUGAAAGGUGCAAUUGCACCACUACCAGAUGGACCUGCGUUGUAUUAGCUAGUAGGUGAGGUAACGGCUCACCUAGGCGACGAUACAUAGCCGACCUGAGAGGGUGAUCGGCCACACUGGGACUGAGACACGGCCCAGACUACUACGGGAGGCAGCAGUAGGGAAGCGUAGGAAAUGGACGAAAGUCUGACCGAGCAACGCCGCGUGAGUGAAGAAGGUUUUCGGAUCGUAAAGCUCUGUUGUAAGAGAAGAACGGGUGUGAGAGUGGAAAGUUCACACUGUGACGGUAUCUUAACAGAAAGGGACGGCUAACUACGUG